rnacentral:rRNA from 1 species
AAGAGACAGCAGUAGCCGCGGUAAUACGAAGGGUGCAAGCGUUAAUCGGAAUUACUGGGCGUAAAGCGUGCGUAGGCGGUUUGUUAAGUCUGCUGUGAAAUCCCCGGGCUCAACCUGGGAAUGGCAGUGGAUACUGGCAAGCUAGAGUGUGUCAGAGGAUGGUGGAAUUCCCGGUGUAGCGGUGAAAUGCGUAGAGAUCGGGAGGAACAUCAGUGGCGAAGGCGGCCAUCUGGGACAACACUGACGCUAAGGCACGAAAGCUAGGGGAGCAAACAGGAUUAGAUACCCCUGUAGUCCCUGUCUCUUAUAC